GACGAACGCUGACGGUGUGCUUUAGGCAUGCAAGUCGAACGAGAAAGCCCUUCGGGGUGAGUAGAGUGGCGAACGGGUGAGUAACACGUGGGCAACCUGCCCCUCGCAGGGGGAUAACCGGAGGAAACUCCGGCUAAUACCCCGUAAGCUUUCAGGGUCGCAUGGCCCUGUAAGGAAAGGUAGCUUCGGCCAUCCGGCGAGGGAUGGGCCCGCGGUGCAUUAGCUAGUUGGUGGGGUAACGGCCCACCAAGGCGACGAUGCGUAGCUGGUCUGAGAGGAUGAUCAGCCACACUGGGACUGAGACACGGCCCAGACUCCUACGGGAGGCAGCAGCCAGGAAUCUUGGGCAAUGGGCGCAAGCCUGACCCAGCAACACCGUGUGGGCGAUGAAGGCCUUCGGGUCGUAAAGCCCUGUUGAUAGGGACGAAGGGCGAAGGGUUAAUAGCCCCUAGCCUGACGGUACCUUUCGAGGAAGCCCCGGCUAACUACGUGCCAGCCGCCGCCGUAACAC
rnacentral:rRNA from 1 species